rnacentral:rRNA from 1 species
ACUGCUAUCGAGGUUCGACUAAGCCAUGCGAGUCGAAUGUAGCAAUACAUGGCGUACUGCUCAGUAACACGUGGAUAACCUACCCUCAGAACGGGGAUAAACCCGGGAAACUGGGUAUAAUACCCGAUAGAUCUCGGAGGCUGGAAUGCAUCGAGAUCGAAAGCUCCGGCGUCUGAGGAUGGAUCUGCGGCCUAUCAGGUAGUAGUGGGUGUAGCGUACCUACUAGCCUACGACGGGUACGGGUUGUGAGAGCAAGAGCCCGGAGAUGGAUUCUGAGACACGAAUCCAGGCCCUACGGGGUGCAGCAGGCGCGAAAACUUUACAAUGCUGGCAACAGCGAUAAGGGGACCUCGAGUGCCAGGUUACAAAUCUGGCUGUCGAGAUGCCUAAAAAGCAUUUCAUAGCAAGGGCCGGGCAAGACCGGUGCCAGCCGCCGCGGUAACACCGGCGGCUCGAGUGGUAACCGUUAUUAUUGGGUCUAAAGGGUCUGUAGCCGGCCGGAUAA